GCCGGCGGUAACACUUCGAAUGCUCUAGUUACCAAAUGGAUCACUGAAGUUAAUCAACGUUGCACAUGGUUGUUAUCCGAGAAGGUGACUAUUUGGGCAUUCGCGUGCUGCUGGCU
rnacentral:rRNA from 1 species